GUGCACAGGAACGGAGUGCACAGGGAACCUGGUAGGCAAGACCCCUGCCAUCGUGCAGCUUACUGUCAGGUUGACACAGAUAUUAAGAAAGAACAAAAUUUUAAAUAUAUUGAAAACGACACCUGUAAUUUGAGAAGAUGCUUGACAUCAGGAGAGGAGAAGAGUGGAGAGAGGUGGAGUGGCAAAGGAGAGUCUCCAAACCAAAAGCCUGCGUGCAGAGGCCCUAGGAGGCAAGCACUUACCGUGUUUCGGGAGUAGAAACGAAACAUAUGACAAGACUCUUAAAAACAAAUAGAAUUGGGAUGGAAUAAAGUUGGAUGAGUAAGCAGACAUCAAAUCGUUCAGAAACUUGUAGUCCAAGUUGAAGAAUUUGUUUAGUAUUGUAUAAUAAAUGCAGAGGAAGCUAUGUACAUUUAUAAUUUACAUUUUUUAAAGGCCACGUUGUAGCUCAAUCGGAUAGUUUGUCUUUUGAUGGAAUGUAGUAUACAGUAUCAUCAUGAUAUAUUCCAGGCAAAAAUAUUUAACUUGAAUCUAUCAAGCCUUUGCAUCUAACAGACUUUAUAAAAAAAUACAACUGAUAGAUGAACAAACUAAAUGAUGCCAGAGGAAGUAACUAGACAGAAGGUGAAACCAGAAGGUGAAACAUUCUGCAGGAUAACUGGCCCAUCUCUUCAACAAUUUGUCAUGAAAAAAGCAACUGCUUUAUGAAAAGAAAUUUAAGGGACAUAACAGUUUGAAUUGGAUCCUAGUUUGAACAGACUAUAAAAUGCAUUUUCAGGAACAUUAAAGAAAUAUGAAUGUAGAUGGACUGAGUAUUGGAUAAAAUAGAACUGUAUUGCCAUGGAAAAGAUCAUUAACUGAAAAGAGCAAGUCACAAAGUAGUAUGUUACAGCAUCCCAUUUUGGUUUAAAAAUGCACAUCUGUGUAUUUAGGUACAAUGAAAAAAAUAGUGGCCUUAUACCCUAAGGUGUUAGUAGUGGUAAUCUUUGGAAGUGGAAAUGUGUAUUUUCUUACUUAUGUUUGCCUAUCUUUUUCAUUGUAACUUUUGCAGCACAUAGACUACUUUCAUUAUAGUAAAAGUUUAUUUUACCACAA